rnacentral:tRNA from 1 species
GGAGAUGUCGCAUAGUGGCCUAGUGCGCCGCCCUGCUAAGGCGGUUGGGGUUUGCGCCCCUCGAGGGUUCGAAUCCCUCCAUCUCCG